CACGUAGGGUGCGAGCGUUGUCCGGAAUUAUUGGGCGUAAAGGGCUCGUAGGCGGUCUGUUGCGUCGGGAGUGAAAACUUACAGCUUAACUGUGAGCGUGCUUUCGAUACGGGCAGACUUGAGGCAUUCAGGGGAGAACGGAAUUCCUGGUGUAGCGGUGAAAUGCGCAGAUAUCAGGAGGAACACCAAUAGCGAAGGCAGCUCGCUGGGACGUUACUGACACUGAGGCGCGAAAGCGUGGGGAGCGAACAGG
rnacentral:rRNA from 1 species